rnacentral:rRNA from 1 species
CUUGUACACACCGCCCGUCACACCAUGGAAGUUGAUUGCACCAGAAGUAGGUAGCCUAACCGCAAGGGGGGCGCUUACCACGGUGUGGUUAAUGACUGGGGUG